GACGUAGGGCGCAAGCGUUGUCCGGAAUCAUUGGGCGUAAAGCGCGUGUAGGCGGCCCGGUAAGUCCGCUGUGAAAGUCCAGGGCUCAACCCUGGGAUGCCGGUGGAUACUGUCGGGCUCGAGUCCGGAAGAGGCGAGUGGAAUUCCUGGUGUAGCGGUGAAAUGCGUAGAGAUCCGGAGGAACACCAAAGGCGAAGGCAGUGUCCUGGGGAGUACCUGACGCUCAGGUGCGAAAGCCAGGGGAGCGGAACGG
rnacentral:rRNA from 1 species